CACAACUUCCACUUUUGCGAUGACAUGUAUCACUCAUAUAGGCUGGGGUGUGUGUUCCUGUGAACAGACUCAAGUCCUGGACUCCACUGAGACAACACUGAGGUCGAGAUGCUCAUCAUGGGGGCUGUGCUGCUGUUACUAAUUGGUGUGACGGAUGGCGUGAAGACCUUCUGCAACGCCACACAGCCACGCAUCACGACCCCGUGCUUUGGCUCUCUGGGAGGAACUGUGGUGGUCCUGAUGACUACUAGGACCUCACAAAAUGAUACCUUCAGACUGAAGAAGAACAAUGCCACGAUUUUAUCAGAACGCAACAUUCGAUGUUCAUUUAAUGUCAGUACUGGAAUAUUUACUAUAAAGGACAUCGACAGGACAGACAAUGGUACAUACUCAAUGGAAGUACAUAACACAACUGGAAUGCAAGUAGCAUUUACAAAAUGUUAUUUAACUAUUGAAGUCAAACUGUGGGACUCACCUCCUCAGUCGGUUUCCCUUAGCCCCGGUCUCCUCUCUCAAACUGUCCCGGGAGUGUCUGUCCCGGGGACAGCAGAGGGUGUCCUGCUCUGCCGGGGGGGACGGACUCCACUACAGCUGGAGUCUAGACGGACUCCCGCUGAACGACACGCGUCUCCUCUCCGGACCCGAUAGCGCUAGUAACGUCACUCUGGAGGUGGGCCGGUCGGGACUGCUCAGCUGCUCGGUCCGCAACAACGUGAGCCACGCCGCGGCUAACAUCACCUUGUCUGUGUGUGACGGGUUCACUUAUGUGAACUGCACAUCUAAUGGAACACAUAUAUCACAGUGGGUGCACAGAGACAACAAUACCUUAUGCCCUGAGGCAGCGGUCACUGUGGGACCCACAUACAGUACAACGGGUAAGGAGAUUAAAUGGACACAAACCAUUCUGUGAAUCAGACGGGAAAAUGGUCUGUUAACUAUAAAAUAUCUAAAAUAAUACUCAUCAUGUAUAGAGAUAUCAGCGUAUAGAUAUAAAGAUAUCUUUAUAUAUACAGGGCUGAAAAAAUCAUUUAAGGGAAACAUAGCAGGCAUGUUUGUAUGUAUGUAUGUAUGUAUGUAUGUAUGUAUGUAUGUAUGUAUGUAUGUAUGUAUGUAUGUAUGUAUGUAUGUAUGUAUGUAUGUAUGUAUGUAUGCAUGCAUGCAUGUAUGUGCCAGCGGGUGAAAAAUACAUUAAGAGCACUGAAUGCAAGGGGCUUGGACACAGUAGUGGAUUCAUCACAUGACCGAUCACCAUUGUCUCUCAUAGGGUUAAUAAACUGCACAUCUAAUGGAACACAUAUAUCACCGUGGGGGCACGGAGACAACAAUACCUUUUGCACUGGGACAGCUGGGGGAUCAUUGAACUUCAAUAUAAUGGAGCUCGUCCCUAUAAUAGCUGGUUCCCUGUCAGCGAUAGCACUGCUCCUGAUAGUAGUAUUGGGAGUCUACUGCGCAAAAAAGCACAAAACCUCAAAAGACACCACAGACACGGAGGAUGUAACCUACGCAGACGUCUCUGUGCUCCAGCGCCAGGGCCAGCGGAGAGAGCAGGGGGCGGGGGAGGGUGAGGUGGAGUACGGGGAGGUCAAGGUGGCUCCAGGCCCCAGGCGGACGCUGGAGACCAAUGUGGACGAGUGUGUGUACGCUCAGCCCCGGAGGACGAGGCCCUGAGAGCUGUCACCACCCAGAAGGACGCGUAGACCUUUUAAACUUAUUUACUGGCACUCCCAUCGUGGCUUCUGAGCGGCCAAGUCAUUGGCCCCCAAUGUUAUGAUGAUUCAGCAUUCAUUCUAUUUGGACAUUCACGGGGAAAUUUUGGCUAUGUUGACAUUAAAUAAUUUAUUAUGCUUUACAUCACAUCUGCCUUCAUGUUAAUUAUUGUAUUUUGUUAUUUUCAUUAUUUCAUAUCUAAAAUGUUCCUGUAAAUAAAAAUAAACACAUAUACA